UAGCCACCCCAGGGAGCACCAGGUGACCAGGCGAGGUGCCUGCCAGGCGCAUUGUGUUCAUUGCUUUUUUUUUUUUUUUUUUUUUUUGAGACAGAGUCUUGCUCUUUCGCCCAGGCCGGAGUGUAGUGGCGCUAUCUCGGCUCACUGCAAGCUCCGCCUCCCGGGUUCACGCCAUUCUCCUGCCUCCGGCUUCCAAGUAGCUGGGAAUACAGGCGCCCGCCACCACGCCCGGCUAAUAUUUUUGUAUUUUUAGUAUAGACAGGGUUUCACCGUGUUAGCCAGGAUGGUCUUGAUCUCCUGACCUCGUGAUCCGCCCGCCUCGGCCUCCGAAAGCGCUGGGAUUACAGGCGUGAGCCACCGCGCCCGGCCAUUGCUUUCUUGCAGCAACUGGGGAUUGUUGAUUCGGGACCCCUAGUCGGAGGGUGAUUUACACGUCAGUUGCAGCGCGUUGGUCAAUGUUCCAGGCUGUCAGCUCGGCACCGCCCUCAGGGCUCAAGCUACACAGGGCAUUGAAAGGAAUUCUGUCAUUACAGCCCCAGGAAAAUGGAAGAAGAGGAAAAUGAAAAAAGACAAAAGGGAUAUGAUGCUGGGCAAAAUCCCACCAAAAUCAGACGUAGGAAGGAAUCCAGCCCUUUUGCCCAGUAGAAUUAUGGGGGAAAAGGAGAAGCAAAUGGCGAGACACUUGAAUUCCAAGCUCUCCUCUUGAAGUGGAAGCCGUAGAGAAAGGAGGCAUGUUAGGUUGAAGAAAGAUGGUGAGGUUCCCAGAGACUAGCCACUUCAGGAAGCUCUUCUUACCCUUCGGGAUAAAGGGAGCAGAGAAGGAAAAAGCAGAGUCCAUGGAAUCAUGGGGACACACAGCAAUGCCAGAGACUUCUUGCCAAAGCAAGGAGCGAGCAGGGAAGAAAAGCUCCCACCUCUCACCUUCCAAACCUCAGGCUCCUGCUGGUGUCUCCCAUUAACCAAAACCACAGACACCAACCAGCAAGAAAGCCAGGGACCUAGAGUCAGUAGGGGUAAAUAGAGCCUUUCAGGACACGGAGAAGGGCAGGCAAAGGCACAGAUGGGUGUAGCCAGGGGCAGCAAGGGGAGAAUAACCAGGCACCUCCUUCCAUUCCAGCAUGAGGGCCUGGAAGCCCCUCUUUCUUGCACAUGCACAUGCCAUGCUGGGGAGCGGCAAUGGGAGUUCCGAAAUACUGAACAUUUAUCUAGAGACUGAGUCACUUAAAGCAACUGCUGAAAUUAUUGAAACAGACUGUUUUCUAAUCUAGACUAAAAUAUACUAUAUUUUUCUCUCUAUCCAUCAGUCCAUUGUAAUGAAAAUUUAAUCAAUUACUUAAAGCAAUAAAAGAAACUACAUUUUUAUUGUACAACUUACUGAAGUGUGAGGAAAUGGGUGGAUCCUUCCCACUUUGUAUCCUCUCUACCGUUCUCUACUUCCAAGGUAACUGAGGUGACUUAACAAUGAAACAAGUCAGAAAUGUCCUGAUAGAGACCAAAGGAAGACAAUAUUUCAGACUCCUCUGGAGAGGAAAGCAUCUUCUGGCUCAAUUAGCAUGCUAAAGAAUGGGUUUGGUUUCGUGCUCCAUUAAAGUCAACUAAAUAGAUGCGCUGCAUGUCUUUAUUUCAAAAAUAAAGCUGAACAAUUAAAUCCCGUGUCUCUUUGCUCAGUUUUUGAUCCCACACAAAGCUUUCCCACUUGCUGCCUUUGGAUGUAAUGUUAACAAAGUCAGUUAACAUCAAGCACUGCAGUAACAGGCAUGGCAGAAUUCCUUGUUUUUGCUCAAUCAGUCUGUGUUCAAACUAUCAGUUUGAUUUAUUUGUCCACAUUGACCCUUAUUCACCACUUAAUUAUCCUCGUAUAAUGUUUCAAGAGGCUCCUGACACAAGGAGAAAGACAAUCGCCGAUGUUCUGUAAAACAACGGUUGACCUGAUGGGCCCAGAUGAAGACCGUGGGUCGGAGUUUGUUUGCUUUUGGAAGAACCCACUUCUCCUGUCCGAGAGCUGCAUCCAGAGCCACUCGCUGUGGGUGCCACAGGCUGGCCGGUCAAGCUGUUCGUCAGGUUCUCAAACUGUGAGCUGACCAUCACCACGGGAUAGUCAUGGCGUUUUGCUCUAUUGGCCUCUCCAAAUCCCCCGGUAUGUUGGGUGUAUUAGAGUUCAGAAAAAAACAAAACCCAUGCACCCACUAACACACAAACACACACACACACACACACACACACACACUGAACCUCAAUUUCAGCAAUGUCUUUAUUAGUAUAUGGUUACUGCUGUGAUUAGAAAUACAUUUUCUCACUUUGUGUAUGAACAGGAAAGGUUUUCGAAUCACAGGUAUGAAAUGAGAAAUAAUAUUUAAACAUUGAACUGCUUCAUAUUGUAGUUGAUCUCUAAGCUCCUGCUCAUAAACCAGAUGAAUUAUAAUUUUAUUGGAAAAUAAACCAAUGUCUUUUAUACCUAGCCAGAAAUACUAUUUAUUGUAAUAGGUUUCAUGUGAAAUUAAGACAAUUAUUUUAGAACUGUUGAAAUCUGACAACUAUUCUAUAUUCAUAGCCCUUAACAUUCAAAUAUAAAUUACUGAUAGUUAAAAACAGAUAAUAAACAUCAACAUUUCUAGAAAAACAGCCCAUAUAAAUAUAAAAUCAUAAUUUUAUAUUUUGAAGUGAUUUUCUAUAAAAAUUUUAAAUCUUUUAUGGCAAGUUGAGCCCAUAUUUCAUUUGGCUACACCUUAGUAUGCAUAAAUGGUUUUUGCAACACCCUACUAACCUUGGUUUGUCAUUUUAAUUUUUUACACAUUUUCCUCUCCUGUUUAGUACAUUUUCCAUCUUAUUAAAUUUUACUCUGCACAGUUACCAAUGCAAAUGACAGCCUAAUUGUUUUUCAUACAUUAAAAAUGUUCAUCAAUGUCGUUUGAACCUAAAAUUAGAAAAUCAUACUCUAACAUAGCCUCCAUGUGUUGGUGACGUUUAUUCUUUUGUGUCUUAGCCUUUCUCUGUGAUGGACAUAUGAUCACAAAUGUUGCUGCACAGAAACAAUAACACAAGAAUUAGAUAAAUGACAGAUGACAAUUUCAAAAUGAAAAAUAUCAAAUAUUUCUAAAAGCUACUUGGUAGGAUUUUUUUUACUGCUGUAACUGUAACCAAAACUCUGAGAAGCAUUUUUGGAAGCCCCAGUUACCAGUAUGAAAGCCACCAGAAUAGAGUCUUGUACAUGCCACAACCCCGAACUCUCAUUCCGUCAUCCUGGGGAGGUCUGAGAUCCCAGCAGAGAUGGUCUGGUGGCCAGUGACCUUCUAUUUGAUUUGGUGCAGAGGGACUGAGCAUCUGGAGGCCAACCACGUGGCCUGGGCGUCCCACUCAAACUUGCUAGCUGCAAUUUCCUCAUCAUCGAGGACUUUCUAUCUUCUGAGGUUGGAUACAGAGUCCCCAGGAGUCCCGGUAGUGUUCAAGAUGACACAAGUCUGAGAGGACAUGAGCUGAGCCAGGCACACCAGUGACCUGCAGGCCUGCACACCCAGCUUUGACCAGGGUGGAUCCACUUUUUUCAGUUCUUUUCCAUAUCAGAUUUUUUUUUCCAGAAUGAAGUGUCCUGUGGCCUUUAAAGAGUUUUGUUUUGUUUUGUUUUGUUUUGUUUUAAGACCUGAAUAUAGAGGCCUUCCAGCUCUGGGAUUAUGUAACUCUAGGAAUAAAAUCAUAGUUCUUACAGCUGAAAGAAUACAAUAAGACAAAGUAGAAUAGGCAAAAAACCUGAGGUGGAAAAUCUGGCCUCCGUGUUGUCCCUUAAACAGGCUCACCGUCCUUCCAAUGGGUUCAAUUAUUUGCUACUGAAGAAAUCAUUCCGUAUGUUCCCCUGUCUGCAAACACACGGGCCUGAGAUCCCCUAAGUAAGAACACCAGUGGCAAGAUGAAGACACAAUCAGGGACUUGUUCCAACAUGGACUCCUGCUCUAAGAAAGCCCACAAAGCUGCUCUCUCUGUUCUGGCCUUGCUGUCUAAUACCAAGGAAUUUUCAUGACAUGUUCCAAUAGAAAUGACCAAAAUAAAAAUCUCUCUGAGAAAAAUGCCGCCCUCUUCUAAAAAUUAUUGUUGUUGUUGCUUUAUCUCAUUUUUCUGCUCAAUGUUUCUUUCUACCUGAAAACAAAUUUUUUAAUCUGAAAAAAUAAUUUGCUUUCAACUCUUUUUGCUACCUCCACCUGUUUCCUCCCAAAUCAGGUCUGUGUCAAAAG
rnacentral:lncRNA from 1 species